CUUACAACAAUAUUUUACUUCUUUAACUGUUUUUUUUCUUUUUCUACAGUUUAUAAUAAUAUUGGAUGAGGAUCACCUUCUUUGACAUCGUUAACAAAUUGUUGAUCGCACCACAAUCUCUUUCAUCACGUCACCAAAAAUAUGCUGGAUCUUUAUCUGACAAGUGUCAAAUUGUGGCUUUCUUAAACAUUUUAGCAGCCAAAAACGACACAAUUACAUACAGUACCCAGUCAGAGAUCAAAACUUGUGCUAGCUUUCUUCUUCGUCAGCAACACUUAUCGCUGGCAUAAAACAUUGGAGCAAAGUCAAAAACGUAACAACCGGUCCGAUGUAAAAU